rnacentral:rRNA from 1 species
GUCUAUGGCCAUGCUACCCUGAACAAGCCCAAUCCAGUCUGAUCUCAGAAGCUAAGCAGGGUCGGGUCUGGCUAGUACUUGGAUGGGAGACCACCUAGGAAGACCAGGUGCUGUAGGCA